rnacentral:rRNA from 1 species
UACAGAGGUCUCAAGCGUUGUUCGGAUUCAUUGGGCGUAAAGGGUGUGUAGGUGGCGCGCUAAGUCGGAUGUGAAAUUUCGGAGCUUAACUCCGAAACUGCAUUCGAUACUGGCGUGCUUGAGGACUGGAGAGGAGACUGGAAUUCAUGGUGUAGCAGUGAAAUGCGUAGAGAUCAUGAGGAAGACCAGUGGCGAAGGCGGGUCUCUGGACAGUUCCUGACACUGAGACACGAAGGCCAGGGGAGCAAACGGG